UACGUCGGGUGCAAGCGUUAAUCGGAAUUACUGGGCGUAAAGCGUGCGCAGGCGGUUAUGUAAGACAGAUGUGAAAUGCCCGGGCUUAACCUGGGAACUGCAUUUGUGACUGCAUGGCUAGAGUUUGGCAGAGGGGGGUAGAAUUCCACGUGUAGCAGUGAAAUGCGUAGAUAUGUGGAGGAACACCGAUGGCGAAGGCAGCCCCCUGGGUCAAGACUGACGCUCAUGCACGAAAGCGUGGGGAGCAAACAGG
rnacentral:rRNA from 1 species